rnacentral:tRNA from 1 species
GGUCUCGUAGUUUAAUGGAUAGAAUGAAGGAUUCCGGUUCCUUUGAUCUGGGUUCGAUUCCCAGCGAGACUA